rnacentral:rRNA from 1 species
UACGUAGGGGGCAAGCGUUUGUCCGGAUUUAUUGGGCGUAAAGAGCGUGUAGGCGGCCUUACAGGUCAGCUGUGAAAACCCGAGGCUCAACCUCGGGCCUGCAGUCGAUACGGGCAAACUAGAGUACUGCAGGGGAGACUGGAAUUCCUGGUGUAGCGGUGAAAUGCGCAGAUAUCAGGAGGAACACCGGUGGCGAAGGCGGGUCUCUGGGCAGUAACUGACGCUGAGGAGCGAAAGCGUGGGGAGCGAACAGG